CUAAUUAAUCCCUCAAGAAGUAGUUGAAAUUAAACAGACACCGGGAUGGAAUGGCUGCCAUACAUGUAGAGAUGUUAAAUUAAGAAAAAAUUGGAAAAAUGUUUUCCAGAUAUAUAUGUCUAUGUACAUUUAUGGUCCUGAUGAAAGUUUAUGAUUUUAAACUGAAAUGUUGACAUUGAAAUAAAAGCUAAGUUUUAUCAGAAGGGACGAUUGAGUGCUGACGAUCUAUGGAUUCAUGUAUACAGGAGUUCCAUAGUUCAAAGUUAAUGUAUCAUUCAAAUAUACAGCUCAAUGCUAAUCUACUAUUACUGUGUAUAAAGAAUACAGGACAAAUAAUAGAUGCACAUGGUCACACACUGGGACUAAGGUUUGAGCCUGAAUCCAUGUUGAAGCUGGUUGCUUUAAUCAGUACAUCUCAUGUUUGUCCAAAAAUUGGAGCGCUUCUAAAAGCUUAGUAGAGUAGAGUCUGUUGAUUUUAAUACCAGCUAUUAACUGUAUGUAAAUGGUGGGGUCCCCUGGUGAUUACAGAUCAAAAAUACAUUACUUAAUUGGUAC